rnacentral:lncRNA from 1 species
UUUGAGCCCAAUGCCCGGCAGCCCAAGCUCAACAAAUUUUCCAACGUCCGCAGCAUGGGGGCUUUGAAAUUUCCCAACUUCUCAACUAUCCGUGACCUCCCAGAACAUGCAACAGGAUCAACAUCCCAUCUCCUCUGUUUAGGAACAAACCCAACAUUCCAAGCCGAGUCCUCCACUUUCUUUACAGCAAAUGAAUUCCAGCCAUCAGAGGAGUCUUCUCAACUUCCCAACAUAAAUGUCUUCCCAGCUUCUCAUCCCAUCUACCCGUGAAGCACAUUCCCACAAACAGAGCACGCGUCCGUGAGGAGUUUCCCAGCAUUUGUGGUGACGUGCGCAACUCCCAAGCAUAUCAGCAACGUUCGUGAUAUCCUUCUCAACAUCUGGAGCUUCCCAAACUUCUGCAACGU